UACGUAGGGGGCAAGCGUUGUCCGGAAUUAUUGGGCGUAAAGAGAGCGUAGGCGGUCCGAUAAGUCGGCUGUGAAAGUCUAGGGCUCAACCCUGGAACGCCGGCCGAUACUGUCGGACUAGAGUCCGGAAGAGGCGAGUGGAAUUCCUGGUGUAGCGGUGGAAUGCGCAGAUAUCAGGAAGAACACCAAUAGCGAAGGCAGCUCGCUGGGACGUUACUGACACUGAGGCGCGAAAGCGUGGGGAGCGAACAGG
rnacentral:rRNA from 1 species